rnacentral:rRNA from 1 species
UACAGAGGGUGCGAGCGUUAAUCGGAAUUACUGGGCGUAAGGCGUGCGUAGACGGUUAUUUAAGUCGGGUGUGAAAGCCCCGGGCUCAACCUGGGAAUUGCAUUCGAGACUGAAUAGCUAGGGUACGGUAGAGGGAAGCGGAAUUUCCGGUGUAGCGGUGAAAUGCGUAGAUAUCGGAAGGAACAUCAGUGGCGAAAGCGGCUUCCUGGACCAGUACCGACGUUCAGGCACGAAAGCGUGGGGAGCAAACAGG